GACGAACGCUGGCGGCGUGCUUAACACAUGCAAGUCGAGCGGUAGGGCCCUUUCGGGGGUACACGAGCGGCGAGCGGGUGAGUAACACGUGGGUGACCUGCCUUUAGCUCUGGGAUAAGCCUGGGAAACUGGGUCUAAUACCGGAUAUGACCCUAUAGCGCAUGUUGUGGGGUGGAAAGCCUUGUGCGGCUAGGGAUGGGCCCGCGGCCUAUCAGCUUGUUGGUGGGGUGAUGGCCUACCAAGGCGACGACGGGUAGCCGGCCUGAGAGGGCGACCGGCCACACUGGGACUGAGACACGGCCCAGACUCCGUACGGGAGGCAGCAGGUGGGGAAUCUUGCGCAAGUGGGACGAAAGCCUGACGCAGCGACGCCGCGUGAGGAUGAC
rnacentral:rRNA from 1 species